AUGAACGCUGGCGGCGUGCCUAAUACCUGCAAGUCGAGCGAACAGACGAGGAGCUUGCUCCUCUGACGUUAGCGGCGGACGGGUGAGUAACACGUGGAUAACCUACCUAUAAGACUGGGAUAACUUCGGGAAACCGGAGCUAAUACCGGAUAAUAUAUUGAACCGCAUGGUUCAAUAGUGAAAGACGGUUUUGCUGUCACUUAUAGAUGGAUCCGCGCCGCAUUAGCUAGUUGGUAAGGUAACGGCUUACCAAGGCAACGAUGCGUAGCCGACCUGAGAGGGUGAUCGGCCACACUGGAACUGAGACACGGUCCAGACUCCUACGGGAGGCAGCAGUAGGGAAUCUUCCGCAAUGGGCGAAAGCCUGACGGAGCAACGCCGCGUGAGUGAUGAAGGUCUUCGGAUCGUAAAACUCUGUUAUUAGGGAAGAACAAAUGUGUAAGUAACUAUGCACGUCUUGACGGUACCUAAUCAGAAAGUCACGGCUAACUACGUG
rnacentral:rRNA from 1 species